GAGGUGAUAUGUCAUUGUUUUGAAUUGCAUUUCUCUGGUGAUUAGUGCAGUUCAGCACCUUUUCAGAUUCCUGUUGGCCAUUUGUGGAGUCUCACUCUGUAGCCCAAGCUGGAGUGGCGUGAUCUCGACUCACUGCAACCUCCGCCUCCUGGGAUCAAGUGAUUCUCGUGCCUCAGCCUCCUGAGUAGCCGGGACUACAGGUCACAGAAUUUUCCACACUCCUUGACAGAGGUGCUUAACCCUUAUCCAUCAGCAUUCUCAGACAGCACCUCCGGUUAGGGACAGUAUCUGACCGUCCGACAUCCCUGCAGCCCCCAUGUGUCACACAGACUCAGCCUCAGGUAGAUGGUUUCCGUAGAUGGUGGCUUUCUUUGGACCCUUGACAUCAACCAGUUACUAUUUGGUCUAGGGGUCUCACCAACGCUGCUCAUCUAGCAGGGCCACACAUAACAAAUAGAAGCAGAGCAAGCCCUGGAACUCCUGCCUGACAGUGACACGACGACAGAAACAUCUUACCAGUCAGAGGACCAUGAGAAAUAGAUUCAAGGAGCAUUCCACGUGCAAGUGAGUCUUGGCCCCAUCUGCCUUUGGAUUUUAGCCGUGAACUGGAAGGUAUUGGAAAGAAGACCCUCAGAAAUAGCUUAAUCAAAAUCCCUGCGUCUGAACCAAGUGCCUUAUUUCUCUGUGGGCCUCAAGCUUCGCUGACAUCUGUGGAGCACACUGUCCUAACAGGAGUGCUGUCUGAUUUCCCAACGCUCUGCAAAACAAACAGCCUGGAAGGGUGGCUGGUGGAAGGUGGUUUUUAGAGAGAGACUUGUAGAUAACAGGAAAGUGAAGGCUGUAAGGAAGGUUGUAAUUAAACAGCACAUGGAAACACAAUCACAUUAUUGUCCCAUUCCAUAGGGAUAAUGAUGACCACUUCAGUGGGAAAAGGAGAGGUUUUAAGUCAUUAGGGACUAUGGGCCACCUUUUAGGAAGAUUUAUUUUCAAAGGUUAAAAUAGUGUUUUGGCAAUUCAAGUUUCAUUUUCAGAAAAUGUAAUUGAUGGGAACCUCAGUGACUCUGGAUGAAUAAGAUGCUGUUGAGUGGCUCUGACUUGGGCCAGCCGUGCUUCUCACAGGACCUUGGAGACCAAGGUCACUGUGAUCUCAGGUUCAGGGGGCAAGUCCUCUCCACACAGCCCUAGUUGGCCUCACAGCUGAAAAUGUCUCCCUUACUGUUGGACUCCUUUGUUCACCCACAUGAGUUUGUGAAUAAAUCCUUUCCAGUCUGAAA
rnacentral:lncRNA from 1 species